GCUUGCUCCUGGAUUUAGCGGCGGACGGGUGAGUAAUGCCUAGGAAUCUGCCUGGUAGUGGGGGAUAACGUCCGGAAACGGGCGCUAAUACCGCAUACGUCCUACGGGAGAAAGCAGGGGACCUUCGGGCCUUGCGCUAUCAGAUGAGCCUAGGUCGGAUUAGCUUGUUGGUGAGGUAACGGCUCACCAAGGCUGCGAUCCGUAACUGGUCUGAGAGGAUGAUCAGUCACACUGGAACUGAGACACGGUCCAGACUCCUACGGGAGGCAGCAGUGGGGAAUAUUGGACAAUGGGCGAAAGCCUGAUCCAGCCAUGCCGCGUGUGUGAAGAAGGUCUUCGGAUUGUAAAGCACUUUAAGUUGGGAGGAAGGGCGGUAAGCUAAUACCUUGCUGUUUUGACGUUACCGACAGAAUAAGCACCGGCUAACUUCGUGCCAGCAGCCGCGGUAAUACGAAGGGUGCAAGCGUUAAUCGGAAUUACUGGGCGUAAAGCGCGCGUAGGUGGUUUGUUAAGUUGGAAGUGAAAGCCCCGGGCUCAACCUGGGAACUGCUUUCAAAACUGGCAAGCUAGAGUAUGGCAGAGGGUGGUGGAAUUUCCUGUGUAGCGGUGAAAUGCGUAGAUAUAGGAAGGAACACCAGUGGCGAAGGCGACCACCUGGGCUAAUACUGACACUGAGG
rnacentral:rRNA from 1 species